rnacentral:ncRNA from 1 species
ACCAAGGAGUCUAACAUGUGCGCGAGCCGCGGGGCAGUACGAAACCCGUAAGGCGAAAUGAAGGUGAACGCCGGCGCGGUCCGGCGGAGGUUGGAUCCCGUCCCGUCGGGGCGGGCGCACUACCGGCCGAUCUUCUCCGCCCUGUCGGCGAGGUCGAGCGAGAGCGUGCAAGUCGGGACCCGAAAGAUGGUGAACUAUGCCUGAGGAGGUUGAAGCCAGAGGAAACUCUGGUGGAGGACCGUAGCGAUUCUGACGUGCAAAUCGAUCGUCAAAUUUGGGUAUAGGGGCGAAAGACUAAUCGAACCGUCUAGUAGCUGGUUCCCUUCGAAGUGUCCCUCAGGAUAGCUGGCGCUCUGUCGCAGUUUUAUCUGGUAAAGCGAAUGAUUAGAGGUCUUGGGGGCGAAACGCCCUCAACCUAUUCUCAAACUUUAAAUUGGUAAGAACCCCGACUCGCUCCGUUUUAGCCCGGCCAUGAAUGCGAGUGCCAAGUGGGCCACUCUUGGUAUCCAGGACUGGCGAUGCGGGAUAAACC